rnacentral:rRNA from 1 species
GACGAACGCUGGCGGCGUGCUUAACACAUGCAAGUCGAGCGAUGAAGUUUCUUCGGAAAUGGAUUAGCGGCGAACGGGUGAGGAACACGUGAAGAAUCUGCCCUCCACUUUGGGAUGACACAGGGAAACCUGUGCUAAUACCGAAUAUUGAAACAUAAGUGGCAUCACUGAGUUUUGAAAGAAUUUCGGUGGAGGAUGACUUCGCGGCCUAUCAGCUAGUUGGUGAGGUAAUGGCUCACCAAGGCAACGACGGGUAGCCGGCCUGAGAGGGCGCACGGCCACACUGGGACUGGGACACGGCCCAGACUCCUACGGGAGGCAGCAGUGGGGAAUAUUGGGCAAUGGAGGAAACUCUGACCCAGCGACGCCGCGUGCGGGAUGAAGGCCUUCGGGUUGUAAACCGCUUUCAGUAGGGAAGAAGCGAAAGUGACGGUACCUACAAAAGAAGCACCGGCUAACUAUGUGCCAGCCGCCGCCGUAA